rnacentral:lncRNA from 1 species
AUGUAGAUGACAGAUGAAGAAAAUAUUUUAAAUUUUACAAAGAAAACCCCGUAAGGUACAGAUGAAGUACUGAGUACCGGGUAUAAAAGUUGUGGCGCGUAUGAAGCGUCUUACACGUCCCUUCUCGUUAUUUCACGCUUUGCGUCUGUCUGAACACUUCCCCUAACAAAAAUUACAAACAAUUAACACAUAAAGCACGGCACAUUUUAAGGGCGUUAAAUAAAACUUUUG